rnacentral:rRNA from 1 species
AUUGAACGCUGGCGGAAUGCCUUACACAUGCAAGUCGAACGGCAGCACGGACUUCGGUCUGGUGGCGAGUGGCGAACGGGUGAGUCAUGUAUCGGAACGUGCCCAGUCGUGGGGGAUAACGUAGUGAAAAUUACGCUAAUACCGCAUACGAUCUAUGGAUGAACGCGGGGGAUCGCAAGACCUCGCGCGAUUGGAGCGGCCGACAUCAGAUUAGGUAGUUGGUGGGGUAAAGGCGCACCAAGCCAACGAUCUGUAGCUGGUCUGAGAGGGCGACCAGCCACACUGGAACUGAGACACGGUCCAGACUCCUACGGGAGGCAGCAGUGGGGAAUUUUGGACAAUGGACGCAAGUCUGAUCCAGCCAUUCCGCGUGCAGGAUGAAGGCCCUCGGGUUGUAAACUGCUUUUGUACGGAACGAAAAGGUUUCCAUUAAUACUGGGAGCUCAUGACGGUACCGUAAGAAUAAGCACCGGCUAACUACGUGCCAGCCGCCGCUGUAA